CACGUAGGUGGCAAUAUAAGUCACAGGUGAAAGCCCUCGGCUCAACCGAGGAACUGCCUGCGAAACUGCAUUGCUUGAGUCCGGGAGGGGGGAGCGGAAUUCCAAGUGUAGCGGUGAAAUGCGUAGAUACUUGGAGGAACACCGGUGGCGAAGGCGGCUCCCUGGACCGGUACUGACACUGAGGUGCGAAAGCGUGGGUAGCAAACAGGAUUAGAUACCCUGGUAGUCC
rnacentral:rRNA from 1 species